AAUCAACGCUGGUGGCGUGCCUAACACAUGCAAGUCGAACGAGAAAGUCCGCAAGGAUGAGUAGAGUGGCGCACGGGUGAGUAACACGUGGAUAACCUGCCCUGGAGUGGGGGAUAACAUCUCGAAAGGGGUGCUAAUACCGCAUGACACCCUGGCUGGAAGGCUGGGGUUAAAAGGAGCGAUUCGCUCCGGGAGGGGUCCGCGGCUGAUUAGCUAGUAGGUGGGGUAAGAGCCCACCUAGGCGACGAUCAGUAGCCGUCCUGAGAGGGAGCACGGCCACACUGGAACUGAGACACGGUCCAGACUCCUACGGGAGGCAGCAGUGGGGAAUUUUUGGCAAUGGGGGAAACCCUGACCAAGCAACGCCGCGUGGAUGAUGAAGUAUCUUGGUACGUAAAAUCCUUUCGGCAGGGACGGAUUGAAUUGACGGUACCUGCGGAAGAAGCUCCGGCCAACUCCGUGCCAGCCGCCGCGGUAA
rnacentral:rRNA from 1 species